AUAGCCCUCCUAUCAAGCGAUCUCCCUCCAUUUAAUCCCCGAUUUCUUCAACUCUAAACCCUAAUCGACUCACUAAUACCUCCGCGCCUCCAAAGAUCGAGUUUCGAUCUUGAAAAGAGCGAAGACCUCAAUCUCCCCGACUCUGUUUCCGACGAACCACAGAGGCUGAGCGUAUGUGACUCCCUGGGGCUGACAAGUCGUCUCUGGGUUAGAUUCAUUUCGAUGUAAGAGAUCGAUUAGCAGGCUAGCCGACUCCUUUUCUUGCUAAGAAACAUAUUAAAGCUUUAGUCGUUUCGAUCUUCAUCUUCUCCGUCAAGCAAUGAUGUUGGAGACGGAGGAUCCAAAGAUAC
rnacentral:lncRNA from 1 species